rnacentral:rRNA from 2 species
AGUUUGAUCCUGGCUCAGGACGAACGCUGGCGGCGUGCCUAAUACAUGCAAGUCGAACGAACUCUGGUAUUGAUUGGUGCGUGCAUCAUGAUUUACAUUUGAGUGAGUGGCGAACUGGUGAGUAACACGUGGGAAACCUGCCCAGAAGCGGGGGAUAACACCUGGAAACAGAUGCUAAUACCGCAUAACAACUUGGACCGCAUGGUCCGAGUUUGAAAGAUGGCUUCGGCUAUCACUUUUGGAUGGUCCCGCGGCGUAUUAGAUAAAUGGUGAGGUAACGGCUCACCAUGGCAAUGAUACGUAGCCGACCUGAGAGGGUAAUCGGCCACAUUGGGACUGAGACACGGCCCAAACUCCUACGGGAGGCAGCAGUAGGGAAUCUUCCACAAUGGACGAAAGUCUGAUGGAGCAACGCCGCGUGAGUGAAGAAGGGUUUCGGCUCGUAAAACUCUGUUGUUAAAGAAGAAACAUAUCCUGAGAGUAACUGUUCAGGUAUUGACGGUAUUUAACCAGAAAGCC